rnacentral:rRNA from 1 species
UACGGGGGGGGCAAGCGUUGUUCGGAAUUACUGGGCGUAAAGGGCUCGUAGGCGGCCAACUAAGUCGGAUGUGAAAUCCCCAGGCUCAACUUGGGAACUGCAUUCGAUACUGGAUGGCUUGAAUUCGGGAGAGGGAUGCAGAAUUCCAGGUGUAGCGGUGAAAUGCGUAGAUAUCGGGAGGAACACCGGUGGCGAAGGCGGUUCUCUGGGCCUUACCUGACGCUGAGGAGCGAAAGCGUGGGGAGCGAACAGG